AUUGAACGCUGGCGGAAUGCUUUACACAUGCAAGUCGAACGGCAGCACGGACUUCGGUCUGGUGGCGAGUGGCGAACGGGUGAGUAAUGCAUCGGAACGUGCCCAAUCGUGGGGGAUAACGUAGCGAAAGUUACGCUAAUACCGCAUACGAUCUAAGGAUGAAAGCGGGGGAUCGCAAGACCUCGCGCGAAUGGAGCGGCCGAUGUUAGAGUUAGGUAGUUGGGGGGGUAAAGGCUCGCCAAGCCGACGAUCUAUAGCUGGUCUGAGAGGAUGGUCAGCCAAACUCGGACAGAGACACGGCCCAGACUCCUACGGGAGGCAGCAGUGGGGAAUUUUGGACAAUGGGCGCAAGCCUGAUCCAGCCAUUCCGCGUGCAGGAUGAAGGCCCUCGGGUUGUAAACUGCUUUUGUACAGAACGAAAAGCUCUGGGUUAAUACCCUGGGGUCAUGACGGUACUGUAAGAAUAAGCACCGGCUAACUACGUGCCAGCCGCCGCAGUAA
rnacentral:rRNA from 1 species